GAUGAACGCUGGCGGCGUGCUUAAUACAUGCAAGUCGAGCGAACAGACGAGGAGCUUGCGCCGCUGACGUGAGCGGCGGACGGGAGUGUAACAUGUGGAUAACCCACUUAUAAGACUGGGAUAACUUCGGGAAACCGGAGCUAAUACCGGAUAAUAUAUUGAACCGCAUGGUUGAAUAGAGAAAUACGGUUUUUCUGUCACGUAUAGAUGGAUCCGCGCCGUAUUAGCUAGUUGGUAAGGUAACGGCUUAUCAAGGCAACGAUGCGUAGCCGAACUGAGAGGGUGGUCGGCCACCCUAGAGCGGAGACGCGGUCCAGGCUCCUGCGAGAGGCAGCAGUCGGGAAUCUUACGCAGUGGUCGAGAGCCUGACGGAGCAGCGGCGCGUGAGUGAUGAAGGUCUUCGGAUCGUAAUGCUCUGUUAUUGGGUGUGAACCGAUGUGUACGGAAAUGUGCACGUCUUGACGGUACCUGGUCAGAAAGCCACGGCUAACUACGUG
rnacentral:rRNA from 1 species